rnacentral:lncRNA from 1 species
GACGGGAGGAAAAUACUGAGACCUAAUUACAUGUAACUCUCAUUCCUUUUCAUUCUUGCAUAAGAGAAAAAUAAAAACAAAGUGAAAAACCAAAGCAUUAACCACCAUGUCAAUAAAUUAUGCUACCAUGAAAUGUUAGUUUAAAGAGUAUAAAUAUUUAUUCAUGCCACAUGCACACACACAUACACACACACUGAAUGGAGUGUUGAUUCUGGAUAAACUUGUGAAACCAGCAAAAUUUGUAUUUGGUAUUUUUCUAAGCCAUCUUUUUUCGGUCAUUCCCUGUCUUUCUAGGAUUGUUAAGCCCCAUAUCCUCUUUUUUCUCCACCCAUCAUUUCCUAUUGAGGCUACUUUUUGUGUGUUGAUGGUCCUCUGAUACGGGUCCUGGACUUCUUGUCCUAAAUCCACUUGCCCUUUGAUUGUAAGUGGGCAAGGAUGGGGAGUGGUGGUGAAUGUGUGUGUGUGUGUGUGUGUGUGUGUGUGUGUGUGUAUUUGUAGGAGAGAGAGAGAUUUGUGUUCUAUACUUUCCUAAUGACUUAUGUUUCACCUUCUUCAUUUUGCUUUUAGGAUACUAUGUGUUUGUAGGAAGCCCAUAACUACUCAAGGACCCUCUCCAUCAACUCCCCUAUGGAAAUAUGACUAGCAGGGAAAAAAAAAGGACUUCAAAAGUAGAAGUACCACCUACAAAUACAGUAUCCUUAAGGUAAAAUGAAGACUGUGAAACAUAAUAGCCAUUAGGGAAGAAUAGAACACAAAUCACUCUCUCUCUCUUUUUCUCUUUCUCUCUCUCUCUCUCCCUCUCUCUCUCUCACACACACACACUCACACAUAUUUACAGCCCCCCACCCCUUACAAUCAAAUGGCAAGUGCAUUUAGGACAAGAACUUCAGGACCCUUAUCAGAAGACCCGAGAUAGAAUGGA